rnacentral:rRNA from 1 species
CACGUGGGAACGUGCCCUUAGGUUCGGAACAACACAGGGAAACUUGUGCUAAUACCGGAUGUGCCCUUACGGGGAAAGAUUUAUCGCCUUUGGAGCGGCCCGCGUCUGAUUAGCUAGUUGGUGAGGUAAAGGCUCACCAAGGCUACGAUCAGUAGCUGGUCUGAGAGGACGACCAGCCACACUGGGACUGAGACACGGCCCAGACUCCUACGGGAGGCAGCAGUGGGGAAUUUUGGACAAUGGGCGCAAGCCUGAUCCAGCAAUGCCGCGUGAGUGAAGAAGGCCUUCGGUUGUAAAGCU